rnacentral:rRNA from 1 species
AGUGAACGCUGGCGGUAGGCCUAACACAUGCAAGUCGAACGGCAGCACAGUAAGAGCUUGCUCUUACGGGUGGCGAGUGGCGGACGGGUGAGGAAUACAUCGGAAUCUACUUUUUCGUGGGGGAUAACGUAGGGAAACUUACGCUAAUACCGCAUACGACCUACGGGUGAAAGCAGGGGAUCUUCGGACCUUGCGCGAUUGAAUGAGCCGAUGUCGGAUUAGCUAGUUGGCGGGGUAAAGGCCCACCAAGGCGACGAUCCGUAGCUGGUCUGAGAGGAUGAUCAGCCACACUGGAACCGAGACACGGUCCAGACUCCUACGGGAGGCAGCAGUGGGGAAUAUUGGACAAUGGGCGAAAGCCUGAUCCAGCCAUACCGCGUGGGUGAAGAAGGCCUUCGGGUUGUAAAGCCCUUUUGUUGGGAAAGAAAAGCAGCAGGUUAAUACCCCGCUGUUCUGACGGUACCCAAAGAAUAAGCACCGGCUAACUUCGUG